GACAAAAGCCAUACCUCCUUGAGCUGUGAUCUUAUCAGAUUUCACAACCAGUCAGUGUUGGGAUGAGUCAGUACAAGAUACAGGAGACCUCCAAGGAAAAGCCAUCUGCUAUAGUCA
rnacentral:rRNA from 1 species